rnacentral:rRNA from 1 species
AUUGAACGCUGGCGGCAUGCUUUACACAUGCAAGUCGAACGGUAACAGGCCGCAAGGUGCUGACGAGUGGCGAACGGGUGAGUAAUGCAUCGGAACGUGCCCGGUCGUGGGGGAUAACACUUCGAAAGAAGUGCUAAUACCGCAUACGAGCUGAGGAUGAAAGCGGGGGACCGUAAGGCCCCGCGCGAUCGGAGCGGCUGAUUUCAGAUUAGGUAGUUGGUGGGGUAAAGGCUCACCCAGCCGACGAUCUGUAGCUGGUCUGAGAGGACGACCAGCCACACUGGGACUGAGACACGGCCCAGACUCCUACGGGAGGCAGCAGUGGGGAAUUUUGGACAAUGGGCGAAAGCCUGAUCCAGCAAUGCCGCGUGCAGGAAGAAGGCCUUCGGGUUGUAAACUGCUUUUGUACGGAACGAAACGGUCCGGGUUAAUACCCUGGGCUAAUGACGGACCGUAAGAAUAAGCACCGGCUAACUACGUGCCAGCAGCCGCCGUAACAC